rnacentral:lncRNA from 1 species
ACAAAAACGGAAGGUUACGAUGUUCGUUCCAACUUCGUCGACUGUGUCGACUCUUCAUAUUGCUUCGUUGCGCGCUAGAGGCAACACGAGUAUUUCUUAAGAGCGUUCUUGGAGUUUUUAACGGAGUUGGAUAUCUCAAUUAUACGAUUAAUCCGACUUUAAUUGUAACCUUAAUUAUAAACAGUUUAAACAAUGGAACGAAAGAAACGAUUAAUCAACGAGGGCAGCGAAAACUCCAACGCUGAAGAAAGCAACGAUGCGGAUAACGACGAUAUGAACGAGUGGAAACGAGUUCAAAAUCCCUGCUUGUAUUUCUACUUGUUAAGUGCAACAAAACUUUGACUUUGUCUUCGCACGAAAAACUUUACACGCGUCAUUGAGAAAUUAAAGAUAUCACACCUGGGCUAUCUCUUUGACGAGGAGUAUGUUUCAUUGAAAGAAGAUUCUGAUAAAUUGGAAGAAAAGAGAGAAAAUUUCGGCGAGUAUUUAUUGUACCCUUUACCUUUACCAUUAUCUUCGGUUUUACUACUACGACACUCAUUUAAGUGAUCUAUUUAAUUUUAAUUAUGCUUUAAAUGAAUGUCUUGCAGCAUCAUCUUGUCAAGGAGGAGAAAUAAAAUAAUUAGCAAAUGUCCUUCUCGUUGUACAAAUAGCUAAUUCCCGCGCUUGAUCAAAGUUAGGACCAUCUUUUUCUUUCAUAAAUCACAGCAACGAGGAAAAUUUGCCUUCGUUUGAAGUCGUUUGAAAUCGCACGCUGCUUCUUCCCAUUCGUAAGCUGUAUCUGAUAAAUGCAAAUUCAUCGCGGACAUUGUUCACACAAUUUCUGAUACUUUUGCGAUAAAUUGUGUGAAUAUAUGCUAAUAUUGUGAAAUUUGUGUGCUGUUUUCUAGGGACCUUGACGAAUGGCGUAUCAAUCAUUACACUAUUAAAGGUGUCACGUCCCGUGACUUUAUCAUAAACUAUAAUUCAUCCCUCAACUAUUCUCUUCUUACAGUACCACGUCAAAAUAAUUUACUUAUAAUUCUCAAUGAGAAUUGAUUGUAAAAAUUCUACCAAAUAAAAAAGAAAAAACUGAUUUCUCAAUUAAAAUACAGGAAAAGCGAGUUUUUCGCAUGUUCAACGGCCACUUCAACGUAGUUUUGUAAAAAUAUCGCCGUCAUAGAACAUACCCUUACUUGCUGCUAGCUACUCGAUCUGAAAAUAUCUUAAUUUGCUAUUAACUCUCUGCUGAAAAUACUUCUACGCCCACCACUCGCAUUCUCAAAGUCGUUGGAAAUAAAGAGUAUCUUUAAACUGUUAACUCAGUGUUAUAGUCAUUCAAACCAUCCUUAUUGUAUUAACCGAAAUAGGUUGAGCUGAUAGUAUCAGCUGAUUCAUGGCGCCUAUCAUCGUGUACCGUAACGAGAAUUUACGACUCUCGUUGACGCGUUAUACUACGAAUGCGUCUCCUCGUGAAACGGUCGGAGAAAAGGAAAAGGACAAAACUAAAAA